UGGGGCAACGAUGUGGCUUCAACAAC
rnacentral:piRNA from 1 species